rnacentral:rRNA from 1 species
UACAGAGGGGGCAAGCGUUGUUCGGAAUUACUGGGCGUAAAGGGCGCGUAGGCGGCCUUCUAAGUCGAACGUGAAAUCCCCGGGCUCAACCCGGGAACUGCGUCCGAUACUGGAAGGCUUGAAUCCGGGAGAGGGAUGCGGAAUUCCAGGGUGUAGCGGUGAAAUGCGUAGAUAUCUGGAGGAACACCGGUGGCGAAGGCGGCAUCCUGGACCGGCAUUGACGCUGAGGCGCGAAAGCCAGGGGAGCAAAGCGGG